GGGUCAGUAGGUUGGUCGUGCCACCGGUACGUACUGGUCUCACUGAUUCCUCCUUCCUGUAGAACCGUAAUGCCAUUAAUUUGGUGUUGCGGGGAAACAGGACUGUUACUUCGAAAAAAUUAGAGUGUUUAAAGCAAGCUAACGCUUGAAUACAUUAGCAUGGAAUAAUGAAAUAGGACGAUCGAUCCUAUUUUGUUGGUUUCUAGGAUUGACGUA
rnacentral:rRNA from 1 species